UGGCUCAUUGGUAGAGCGCUUGCCUUGCAUGCAUGAGGCCCUGGGUUCGAUUCCCCAG
rnacentral:tRNA from 1 species